rnacentral:rRNA from 1 species
GAAUGGACUAUCGCUGCGCGGCCGGGUCCUGUGCCCGUCGCACUUCUCGCUGGAGCGCGUCAACAGCUGCUGAGCGUGGCCCACACGGUUCAGUGGAAGGUGAGCGACCAGCUCGCUGGUCGUUGUUAUAGCCGCUGGCACCCAGGUUGCGUUUGGCAGAGGGGAGCGGUGCAUGCUCUCCCUUUUUGCGGAGGGCUGGCGUCCUGUUCCGUUCAYGUAGCUGGCUUGGAUGCACUGCGUGCAGUACGUUCUCGCCGGUGAAAUGGCGUGCAGUCAACGCACACGAUGCACCAUGGUUGUUGGCGGCCAUAUGGCUUUAUCCGACCCGUCUUGAAACACGGACCAAGGAGUCUAACAUGUGCGCAAGUCCUGGGGUGACCGAAACCCAGAGGCGCAAUGAAAGUGAAGGCCACUCCGAGUGGCCGAGGUGAGAUCCUUGCUCUACGCGGGUGAGGCGCAUCAUCGACCGACCUAUUCUACUCUUAGGAAGGUUUGAGUAAGAGCGUACAUGCUGGGACCCGAAA